CCUACGGGUGGCAGCAGUGGGGAAUAUUGCACAAUGGGGGAAACCCUGAUGCAGCGACGCCGCGUGAAGGAAGACGUAUUUCGGUAUGUAAACUUCUAUUAGCAGGGAAGUAAAUGACGGUACCUGACUAAGAAGCCCCGUCUAACUCCGUGACAGCAGCCGCGGGAAUACGGAGGCGGCAAGCGUUAUCCGGAUUUACUGGGUGUAAAGGGAGCGUAGGCGGUUUAGCAAGUCAGAAGUGAAAGCCCGGGGCUCAACUCCGGGACUGCUUGUGAAACUGGUGAACUAGAGUGCAGGAGAGGUAAGUGGAAUGUAUGGUGUAGCGGUGAAAUGCGUAGAGAUUAGGAGGAACACCAGUGGCGAAGGCGGCUUACUGGACUAUAAAUGACGCUGAGGCUCGAAAGCGUGGGGAGCAAACAGGAUUAGAUACCCCAGUAGUC
rnacentral:rRNA from 1 species